GGCGAUGUCGUGUAGUGGUCUAUCACGUGGCACUUAAGCUGCCAUCCUCCUAGAGGUCGCCAGUUCGAAUCUGGCCAUCGUCA
rnacentral:tRNA from 1 species